AAAAGAUCCACAUCCUUGGACAUGACUGAAGUUCAGAAAAUAACAAAGGUCUAUGAGAAAUAUGGGCCCCAGAAACAUUUGCCCAAGAAGCUCAUCAGAACAGAAAGGUUGGGUCUCAAAAAGAUGCGGACACCAAAACAUGUUAAAAAAACGUCAGUGGCAAAGAGUGCUAUAAGAACAAGAGACCUCACAUAUACCUCAUAUCCCCCACCACCUA